UACGUAGGGUGCAAGCGUUAAUCGGAAUUACUGGGCGUAAAGCGUGCGCAGGCGGUUAAGCAAGACAGAUGUGAAAUCCCCGGGCUCAACCUGGGAACUGCAUUUGUGACUGCAUAGCUAGAGUACGGUAGAGGGGGAUGGAAUUCCGCGUGUAGCAGUGAAAUGCGUAGAUAUGCGGAGGAACACCGAUGGCGAAGGCAAUCCCCUGGACCUGUACUGACGCUCAUGCACGAAAGCGUGGGGAGCAAACAGG
rnacentral:rRNA from 1 species